AUACGAAGGGUGCAAGCGUUACUCGGAAUUACUGGGCGUAAAGCGUGCGUAGGUGGUUGUUUAAGUCUGUCGUGAAAGCCCUGGGCUCAACCUGGGAAUGGCGAUGGAAACUGGGCGACUAGAGUGUGGCAGAGGGUAGUGGCAUUCCUGGUGUAGCAGUGAAAUGCGUAGAGAUCAGGAGGAACGUCCGUGGCGAAGGCGACUGCCUGGGCCAACACUGACACUGAGGCACGAAAGCGUGGGGAGCAAACAGGAUUAGAUACCCUGGUAGUCCACGCCCUAAACGAUGCGAACUGGAUGUUGGGUGCAAUUUGGCACGCAGUAUCGAAGCUAACGCGUUAAGUUCGCCGCCUGGGGAGUACGGUCGCAAGACUGAAACUCAAAUGAAUUGACGGGG
rnacentral:rRNA from 1 species